rnacentral:rRNA from 1 species
GCCCAGUCAUAAACCUUGAUGAUAAACUACAAAUAUCAUCCGCCAGGGAACUACAAGCGCAUUGCUCGAAACCCAACGGACUUGGCGGUGCCCCACACCCACCUAGAGGAGCCUGUUCUAUAACUGACAAUCCCCGUUCAACCUCACCACUCCUUGCCCCUUCAGUCUAUAUACCACCGUCGUAAGCUCACCCUGUGAAGGAUUAACAGUAAGCAAGAUGGGCAAACCCCAAAACGUCAGGUCGAGGUGUAGCACAUGGAGUGGGAAGAAAUGGGCUACAUUUUCUGCCUACAGAACACUAACGGACAGCGUCAUGAAACCUAACGCUCAAAGGAGGAUUUAGCAGUAAAAAGAAAACAGAGAGUUCUUUUGAAGCCGGCCCUGGGGCGCGC